rfam:Larimichthys crocea isolate SSNF unplaced genomic scaffold scaffold124, whole genome shotgun sequence.
UGGGGCUGAGGUAGUAGAUUGAAUAGUUGUGGGGUUGUGUAACCUCUUUUUGAGAUAACUAUACAAUCUACUGUCUUUCCCAA